rnacentral:rRNA from 1 species
UACGGAGGGUGCAAGCGUUGCUCGGAAUUAUUGGGCGUAAAGGGUAGGUAGGUGGUCUCAUUUGUCUGGGGUGUAAGCCUUGAGCUUAACUCAAGAAGUGCCUCAGAAACGGUGAGACUAGAGUUCUGGAGAGGGUCGUGGAAUUCCCGGUGUAGCGGUGAAAUGCGUAGAGAUCGGGAGGAACACCAGAGGCGAAGGCGGCGACCUGGACAGAUACUGACACUCAACUACGAAAGCGUGGGGAGCAAACAGG